GACGUACCACCCGAACGUUAUUCGGAUUCACUGGGCUUACAGAGUCCGUAGGCGGUCAAGAAAAUUAGGCGUGAAAUCCCUCAGCUCAACUGAGGAAUAGCGCUUAAAACUACUUGGCUAGAGAGAGUCAGAGGUGAGCGGAACUGAUGGUGGAGCGGUGAAAUGCGUUGAUAUCAUCAGGAACACCGGUGGCGAAAGCGGCUCACUGGGGCUUUUCUGACGCUGAGGGACGAAAGCUAGGGGAGCGAACGGG
rnacentral:rRNA from 1 species